GUCUCUGUGGGCGCAAUCGGUUAGGGCGUCGGCUGUUAACCGAAAGGUUGGUGGUUCAAGCCCACCCAGGGACG
rnacentral:tRNA from 1 species